rnacentral:lncRNA from 1 species
AUGGAAUAUCUCAAAUUAAACUUUUGGGUGAUGCUGCAUAGAAACAUCCACUUUCCGGUGCUUCCCUGUAACAGAAAGAAGAACAAACAAUUAUGAUUGAGCAAUUUGUCCCUGAUCUAGAAAGGGAAAUAAACAGUGGAUUAACUACUGAUGUCUCAAAUUAAACUUGAAGUAUCUAAACCAACACACAUGGCACAUGAAUUUGUCAUAGUUUGGCAAACAUUGGACUAAUGUAAUGUACAGGCAUCACCCAGCACCUAGCUUACAGAGAUUGAACGCUCAGAUUAAAGAGGAAAAAAGUAGCAACAUUCGUACACGCCCAGGUUACACAAAUUGAUAUUGAUUCAAGUAAAAUAUCCAAGCAAAAUCCAACACCGUUGAACUAAUUUGGGAAAAGCCGAUACAUACCUCUGGUGUAGCACGUUCGGACGGCGGAUGUUCUUCCUCCGGCGAACUCCGCGGGAUUUGAGGAGGGCGACGGAUGGCCGGAGAAGAAGAAGAAGAAUAGGAGGGAGGGGGAGGGGAGGAGGGCGGUGGAUGGCCGGAGAAGAAGACCGCCCCCCGCUGGCGGUGACGCC